rnacentral:sRNA from 1 species
ACACCCCCUGGCCUGGCCCCAGGAGUAAGCAGCUUCCUACAGAUGGCUGUCUCCUUUACCUACCGACACCUGGCACUCUUCACAGACACAGGCUACAUCUGGAUGGGGACAGCAUCACUCAAGGAGAAGCUAUGUGAGUUCACCUGCAACAUCCGGGCACCUCCAAAGCAGAUGGUCUGGUGCAGCCGUCCUCGUAGCAAGGAGAGGGCCGUGGUGGUGGCCUGGGAAAGGCGGCUGAUGGUGGUGGGCGAUGCACCCGAGAGCAUCCAGUUUGUGCUGGAUGAGGACUCCUACCUGGUGCCUGAGCUCGAUGGGGUCCGCAUCUUCUCCCGCAGCACCCACGAGUUCCUGCAUGAGGUUCCAGCGGCCAGCGAGUACCUGCGGGAGAUCCAGGAGCUGGGCCAGCUGACCCAGGCCGUGCAGCAGUGCAUUGAGGCUGCAGGACAUGAGCACCAGCCAGACAUGCAGAAGAGUCUGCUCAGGGCCGCCUCCUUCGGAAAGUGUUUCCUGGACAGAUUUCCACCCGACAGCUUCGUGCACAUGUGUCAGGACCUGCGUGUGCUCAAUGCUGUUCGGGACUAUCACAUCGGGAUCCCACUCACCUAUAGCCAAUACAAGCAGCUCACCAUCCAGGUGCUGCUGGACAGGCUUGUGUUGCGGAGACUUUACCCCCUGGCCAUCCAGAUAUGCGAGUACUUGCGCCUUCCUGAAGUACAGGGCGUCAGCAGGAUCCUGGCCCACUGGGCCUGCUACAAGGUGCAACAGAAGGAUGUCUCAGAUGAGGAUGUGGCUCGAGCCAUUAACCAGAAGCUGGGGGACACGCCUGGUGUCUCUUACUCCGACAUUGCUGCACGAGCCUAUGGUUGUGGCCGCACGGAGCUGGCCAUCAAGCUGCUGGAGUAUGAGCCACGCUCAGGGGAGCAGGUACCCCUUCUUCUAAAGA